rnacentral:rRNA from 1 species
UAGAGUUUGAUCCUGGCUCAGAUUGAACGCUGGCGGCAUGCUUUACACAUGCAAGUCGAACGGUAACAGGGAGCUUGCUCCGCUGACGAGUGGCGAACGGGUGAGUAAUAUAUCGGAACGUACCCAAGAGUGGGGGAUAACGUAGCGAAAGUUACGCUAAUACCGCAUACGAUCUAUGGAUGAAAGCAGGGGAUCUUCGGACCUUGUGCUCCUGGAGCGGCCGAUAUCUGAUUAGCUAGUUGGUGAGGUAAAGGCUCACCAAGGCGACGAUCAGUAGCUGGUCUGAGAGGACGACCAGCCACACUGGAACUGAGACACGGUCCAGACUCCUACGGGAGGCAGCAGUGGGGAAUUUUGGACAAUGGGCGCAAGCCUGAUCCAGCAAUGCCGCGUGAGUGAAGAAGGCCUUCGGGUUGUAAAGCUCUUUUGUCAGGGAAGAAACGGGAGUGGCUAAUAUCCAUUCCUAAUGACGGUACCUGAAGAAUAAGCACCGGCUAACUACGUGCCAGCAGCCGCGGUAAUACGUAGGGUGCAAGCGUUAAUCGGAAUUACUGGGCGUAAAGCGUGCGCAGGCGGUUUUGUAAGUCUGACGUGAAAUCCCCGGGCUCAACCUGGGAAUUGCGUUGGAGACUGCAAGGCUAGAAUCUGGCAGAGGGGGGUAGAAUUCCACGUGUAGCAGUGAAAUGCGUAGAGAUGUGGAGGAACACCGAUGGCGAAGGCAGCCCCCUGGGUCAAGAUUGACGCUCAUGCACGAAAGCGUGGGGAGCAAACAGGAUUAGAUACCCUGGUAGUCCACGCCCUAAACGAUGUCUACUAGUUGUCGGGGUUUUAUUAACUUGGUAACGCAGCUAACGCGUGAAGUAGACCGCCUGGGGAGUACGGUCGCAAGAUUAAAACUCA